rnacentral:lncRNA from 1 species
AAAUGUUUUAAUAUUAAAUAAGGACUAAAAUUAAUGAGCAUGAACAUUCAAAUCAUGAUCAUCUUCAAAAAACAUUCAAACCAUCUUCUGCAAAUUUUUAAUAAACCGAAAAUGAAAAUUUAUGAAAAUUUAAACAAAGAAGAUGAAAAAAAAACAUUCAAACCAUCAUAUUUGUUAUAAAAAAAAUCCCAUAACAUAUCUUGUUCAUUUCUAAUCUAAACAAGAACAAGAUUCAAAAAUAUAAAAGUAAAUUAAUAAUAAGGUGUUUUCAAAUCAAUCUAAAAUUUGGGAUCCGAUAAAAUGAUGUCUAAACCCAGAUUUACUAAAGGAAAAACAUUCAAAUCAUCUUCAACAACAAAAAAGUUUCAAGACAGUUCUUUUUUUAACCAGAAAAAGCUUGAAUCGCAUAGUAUCGAACAUGUCCAAUUGGUAGCUCCAAUUUGUAUAAACGGAACACGAAAGCAUAGAUGAAUCUCCUCUUUGAUCUUGAUUUGAAAAAAAAAUGCAGCAAAAUCCUAAUUUUCCAAAAACCCUAGAUUUGAUGAUAAAGAUUUGGUGUAUAGAUGAAAUCUGAAGAUAGAGGUGAAGAUUCGAUCUAUCAUCAUCAAUCCACCAUCUUCCUCUUUAGAAUCCUAGAAAACAGAAACACAUAAACCAUCUUCGAUCUACCACUGGAGAUGAAGAUUAAAAAAAACCCAAAUACAAAAUCGAAGUGAAGGUGGAGAUGAACGUUGGAUUUACAACAGGUGACUGUUGUUUGGAGAUGGUGGCUUGCUUAUGGAUAUCAACGACAUUCUAUGGUGGUUCCAAUCACCAGUCGAGCUCGAGUAUUCCCUUUUCCCCAGAUUCCUAACAAAAUUAAACAAAAUAGAAAGUUAAACUAAAAAUUUUGUUUUGAAAUUUAGGAUUGUAUAUUUGUGUAUAAAAGAUUUGCUUCUUUACCUUUCAUCGAGAACAAUCUCAAAUCCAAUUUUUGUUUAUGGAUGCAAGUCAAUAGAGAAGAAGGUCAAAG